rnacentral:rRNA from 1 species
AACGAAUGCUGGCGGCAUGCCUAACACAUGCCAGUCGAACGAGACCUUCGGGUCUAGUGGCGCACGGGUGCGUAACGCGUGGGAACCUGCCCUUAGGUUCGGAAUAACUCCCCGAAAGGGGUGCUAAUACCGGAUAAUGUCUUCGGACCAAAGAUUUAUCGCCUUUGGAUGGGCCCGCGUUGGAUUAGCUAGUUGGUAGGGUAAAAGCCUACCAAGGCGACGAUCCAUAGCUGGUCUGAGAGGAUGAUCAGCCACACUGGGACUGAGACACGGCCCAGACUCCUACGGGAGGCAGCAGUGGGGAAUAUUGGACAAUGGGCGAAAGCCUGAUCCAGCAAUGCCGCGUGAGUGAUGAAGGCCUUAGGGUUGUAAAGCUCUUUUACCCGGGAUGAUAAUGACAGUACCGGGAGAAUAAGCGCCGGCUAACUCCGUG